rnacentral:rRNA from 1 species
GACGUAGGGCGCGAGCGUUGUCCGGAUUUAUUGGGCGUAAAGAGCUCGUAGGCGGCUUGUCGCGUCGACUGUGAAACCCGCGGCUCAACUGUGGGCUUGCAGUCGAUACGGGCAGGCUGGAGUUCGGUAGGGGAGACUGGAAUUCCUGGUGUAGCGGUGAAAUGCGCAGAUAUCAGGAGGAACACCGGUGGCGAAGGCGGGUCUCUGGGCCGGUACUGACGCUGGAGACGCGAAAGCGUGGGGAGCGAACAGG